rnacentral:rRNA from 1 species
UAUUAGUCAAUGCUCGCAAGAGUGAACUAGCUAACUGAAAUCACAUGAGUCACUCUGUUGAUAAUUGUGAUAACGUAAGGGACAAAAAUGAUAUUACCUUACUAUUAGUGUUGUCCAAAACUGGUGCCAGAAGACUCGGUAAGGCCAGAGACGCAAACGUUAGUCGUCUUAAUCAGGCGUAAAGGGUAUGUAGGCUGCUUUAAAAUUUUAAUUUUGUAAUAGCUCUGUAUAAAUAUAAUUUUAUUAAGAUUUAUUUCAGUAAAAAUAAAAUCAAUUAAAGCUAGAAUCAAAUUGAGGAUAAACCAAAUAAUACUUAGUGUAGGGUUGAUAUCUAUAGAUACUAAGGGGAAUACUAAAGGUGAAAGCUUUUUAUCUAGUAAUGAUUGACGCUGAGAAACGAAGGUGAGAAUAGGAAAUAGGAUUAGAUACCCAGAUACCUCUCACUGUCAACGAUGAAUGGUGGUUGUUAGUUUUUUAAAAAACUGGUAACGAUGUUAACACGAUAACCAUUCCGCCUUGCGAGUACGGUUGCAAAACUGAAACCAAAAAAAUUAGUCGGUCUCGAAGCAAACGAAGUGAAGCAUGUUAUUU